GAUGAAGAACGUGGCGAAAUGCGAUAAGUAAUGUGAAUUGCAGAAUUCAGUGAAUCAUCGAAUCUUUGAACGCACCUUGCACCCUUUGGCAUUCCGAAGGGUAUGCUCGUUUGAGUGUCAUUGUACUCUCACACUUCUGAUCCUUUGGAUUGGGAGCGGUGGACUUGGGUGUUGCUGCUUUACUGUGGCUCACCUCAAAUGCAUUCGUGCAACUCUUGGUUGGACAUAGUACGGCGUGAUAAGUAUCUUCGCCGGCACCUCGCAAGAGGGUGGCUGAUCAGGAGCUCUGUGCUUUCCAACUGUCUUCAGACAACAACUGACAACUUGACCUCAAAUCGAGUAGGACCACCCGCUGAACUUAAGCAUAUCAAUAAGCGGAGGA
rnacentral:misc_RNA from 1 species